rnacentral:rRNA from 1 species
UACGAAGGGGGCUAGCGUUGCUCGGAAUCACUGGGCGUAAAGGGUGCGUAGGCGGGUCUUUUAAGUCAGAGGUGAAAUCCUGGAGCUCAACUCCAGAACUGCCUUUGAUACUGAGGAUCUUGAGUUCGGGAGAGGUGAGUGGAACUCCGAGUGUAGAGGUGAAAUUCGUAGAUAUUCGGAAGAACACCAGUGGCGAAGGCGGCUCACUGGCCCGGUACUGACGCUGAGGUGCGAAAGCGUGGGGAGCAAACAGG